rnacentral:lncRNA from 1 species
UAGUUAUGUUUGGUUGAGCAUACACUCUAUAUUAUUUAAUUGAAAGUGAGAUUCUAUUUAAGAAUACUAAUUAUGUAUCUGUGUAGUUAUGCUUGGUUGAGUAUACACACUAUAUUUCUCUCUAUUAACUUAAAAGUAAAUCUUAACUUAAUAUUCUUCAAUUUUAUUAGUGGUAGGGAUGAAAUGGUAAACAUUAAUGAACUAGCCGAUAUAGUUCUCAGUUUUGAAGCCAUCCAUCCACAUUGCACUGGGUGUUCAUGGUUGUAACUCAAAUUACACUCUCAGCAAGGAAAAAACUUGAUUGGGGCUUCAACUAUGAUAUUGAAGGUAUUUAUAUUAAGCAUUACAUGGUCAGGCUUCAUAGAUUCCAAGCUAACUUUUACAUUCUUAAAACCUUGAUUUCAUUUGUUGUGUUUUUGGUUCUUCACUGGUAUGAAUAGGAUGAUAACUAACUGCUCCCUAUUGUAAAUUUAAUAGGAUAGGCUGAUACUUACAUCUAAAAAGGAGAAAGCUCAUGGUGUAGCUUUAUCAUGGGACUUCUAAAGCAUUCAAAACCUAGGCUCAAGUGCAAUUUGGCACAGUUUGUGUUGCUGAUGGCCACUGGCGAGUGAACUCAUAGUUGUUUGUGCUUAAUGAAGUGAAUUUUUGUUGCAUGUAAUUGUUAUACCAAGUGUCAAAAUAGAGGAAUGUAACAUAAUAGUCUUCUUUUCAGCUACUAAGGCAAACUGUAUAUGCUGCCUAU